rnacentral:tRNA from 1 species
GGGCCCGUAGCUUAGCCAGGGAGAGCGACGGGCUCUUAACCCGUAGGUCCCGGGUUCGAAUCCCGGCGGGCCCGCCA